rnacentral:tRNA from 1 species
GGUUGUGUAGUGUAGUGGUUAUCACUCCAGAUUUUGAUUCUGGUAACCCCGGUUCGAACCCGGGCACGACCU